AGUGAACGCUGGCGGUAGGCCUAACACAUGCAAGUCGAACGGCAGCACAGUAAGAGCUUGCUCUUACGGGUGGCGAGUGGCGGACGGGUGAGGAAUACAUCGGCAUCUACUUUUUCGUGGGGGAUAACGUAGGGAAACUUACGCUAAUACCGCAUACGACCUACGGGUGAAAGCAGGGGAUCUUCGGACCUUGCGCGAUUGAAUGAGCCGAUGUCGGAUUAGCUAGUUGGCGGGGUAAAGGCCCACCAAGGCGACGAUCCGUAGCUGGUCUGAGAGGAUGAUCAGCCACACGGGAACUGGGACACGGUCCAGACUCCUACGGGAGGCAGCGGUGGGAAAUAUUGGACAAGGGGCGCAAGCCUGAUCCAGCCAUACCGCGUGGGUGAAGAAGGCCUUCGGGUUGUAAAGCCCUUUUGUUGGGAAAGAAAAGCAGCAGGUUAAUACCCCGCUGUUCUGACGGUACCCAAAGAAUAAGCACCGGCUAACUUCGU
rnacentral:rRNA from 1 species